rnacentral:piRNA from 1 species
UGAGCUUGUUGCUGUGCUCAGGUAGUUCAG